AAAUUGAAGAGUUUGAUCAUGGCUCAGAUUGAACGCUGGCGGCAGGCCUAACACAUGCAAGUCGAACGGUAACAGGAAGAAGCUUGCUUCUUUGCUGACGAGUGGCGGACGGGUGAGUAAUGUCUGGGAAACUGCCUGAUGGAGGGGGAUAACUACUGGAAACGGUAGCUAAUACCGCAUAACGUCGCAAGACCAAAGAGGGGGACCUUCGGGCCUCUUGCCAUCGGAUGUGCCCAGAUGGGAUUAGCUAGUAGGUGGGGUAACGGCUCACCUAGGCGACGAUCCCUAGCUGGUCUGAGAGGAUGACCAGCCACACUGGAACUGAGACACGGUCCAGACUCCUACGGGAGGCAGCAGUGGGGAAUAUUGCACAAUGGGCGCAAGCCUGAUGCAGCCAUGCCGCGUGUAUGAAGAAGGCCUUCGGGUUGUAAAGUACUUUCAGCGGGGAGGAAGGGGGUAAAGUUAAUACCUUUGCUCAUUGACGUUACCCGCAGAAGAAGCACCGGCUAACUCCGUGCCAGCAGCCGCGGUAAUACGGAGGGUGCAAGCGUUAAUCGGAAUUACUGGGCGUAAAGCGCACGCAGGCGGUUUGUUAAGUCAGAUGUGAAAUCCCCGGGCUCAACCUGGGAACUGCAUCUGAUACUGGCAAGCUUGAGUCUCGUAGAGGGGGGUAGAAUUCCAGGUGUAGCGGUGAAAUGCGUAGAGAUCUGGAGGAAUACCGGUGGCGAAGGCGGCCCCCUGGACGAAGACUGACGCUCAGGUGCGAAAGCGUGGGGAGCAAACAGGAUUAGAUACCCUGGUAGUCCACGCCGUAAACGAUGUCGACUUGGAGGUUGUGCCCUUGAGGCGUGGCUUCCGGAGCUAACGCGUUAAGUCGACCGCCUGGGGAGUACGGCCGCAAGGUUAAAACUCAAAUGAAUUGACGGGGGCCCGCACAAGCGGUGGAGCAUGUGGUUUAAUUCGAUGCAACGCGAAGAACCUUACCUGGUCUUGACAUCCACGGAAGUUUUCAGAGAUGAGAAUGUGCCUUCGGGAACCGUGAGACAGGUGCUGCAUGGCUGUCGUCAGCUCGUGUUGUGAAAUGUUGGGUUAAGUCCCGCAACGAGCGCAACCCUUAUCCUUUGUUGCCAGCGGUCCGGCCGGGAACUCAAAGGAGACUGCCAGUGAUAAACUGGAGGAAGGUGGGGAUGACGUCAAGUCAUCAUGGCCCUUACGACCAGGGCUACACACGUGCUACAAUGGCGCAUACAAAGAGAAGCGACCUCGCGAGAGCAAGCGGACCUCAUAAAGUGCGUCGUAGUCCGGAUUGGAGUCUGCAACUCGACUCCAUGAAGUCGGAAUCGCUAGUAAUCGUGGAUCAGAAUGCCACGGUGAAUACGUUCCCGGGCCUUGUACACACCGCCCGUCACACCAUGGGAGUGGGUUGCAAAAGAAGUAGGUAGCUUAACCUUCGGGAGGGCGCUUACCACUUUGUGAUUCAUGACUGGGGUGAAGUCGUAACAAGGUAACCGUAGGGGAACCUGCGGUUGGAUCACCUCCUUACCUUAAAGAAGC
rnacentral:rRNA from 1 species